AAGCUUUAUUCAAUUGUAGGUCCUAAUCUAAAUAUCUAAUUAGAAAAAAAAAUUCUAUUUAAAUACCACUACAAAUUGUUUAUGUGCUCAAAAAGAAUUCACUCCAAUCCAACAUACAAAUCAUGAGAAAACGCCUUAAAAUCACACUGAUGUUAUUUGGCCACCAACUUGAAAGUUGAUACAAAUGUUCUAGUAGUGAUUUCCCCUUCUUCAACUGUUACUUCUACUCAAAAUUGGUGUAUAGCUUGAUCUUUAAGUCCUCUAAUACCAUGCCAAAUCUCACUUUGAUCCAAAU
rnacentral:lncRNA from 1 species